rfam:Ixodes scapularis strain Wikel colony gcontig_1107728887334, whole genome shotgun sequence.
UCCUGGUUAGCUCAGUUGGUAGGGUGAUCCACUGGAAAUGGAGAAGUCCCUGGUUCGAGACCAGGACCAGGCA